rnacentral:rRNA from 2 species
CAGUUUCUAUCCUCUUUUUGAAAUGAGCUAAUUUUGUACGAAAGGACUUUUUCGCUAAAGCAAUGCUUUGUCACAAAUCUGUGGUUGCAUAAAUAAUAGGGUAUAAUAGGUUGAUUAGCCUAUAGGAAGGGUUA